GCUGAUAUGGCUCAGUUGGUAGAGCGCACCCCUUGGUAAGGGGUGAGGUCCCCAGUUCGACUCUGGGUAUCAGCACCA
rnacentral:tRNA from 1 species